AGUAAAGGAAGCUUCAGGAAAAUCACAUAUUGAAAGAGGGUGUUGACUACAAAUGGGAAACCUGACCCCACCCACUGCUGGGUACUUAAGCUGUAGAAAGUCAGAGGCCUGUCCCUAGUUCUGCUGGAGUGGAGCUGAGAGAGGCUCUUGGGAGCUGCCUGCGUGGGCAGAGUUUGAAGGCUUAGGAUAUCUCCUGAAGGCCGGAUGGGCCAGUAGAGAUUAACGAGGCUUGAGCUGUCUUGAAAGAUGGCUGCCCUGAGAACUGGCUAGAAGAGGAGACCAAGGAGGCUGUGUGGGUCACCCUUGCAUUGGAGAUGAGGGGAGUCGUGAGAGAUCAGUGGGGAGCCCAUUGCCCUGUUGGGGAACUGCCUGGUGGAGCUUUCCCAGGGAUAUUUUAAAGAACCUACAUGGGAGAAAGCCUGCAUUUGGACAUCUUCCAGGCCAUUCAAUAGCCAAAGAGAACCACCAACAGCUUGAAUCAAAAAAAAGGCCCUCAAAAUAGGCUGAAUGAAAAGAGGUGUGAUCGAUGAAAACUGGCCGCUCCUUCUUUGCAACUCCUUCCAUUAGGUGGUGGAGUCUACGUUGCCCUCCCUUUGAUCCAGGCUGGCCACACAAAUUACUUUCACCAACAGAAUGCUGUAGAAGUGAUACUGCAUGACCUCUGAGCCCAGGCCUUAAGGGACUUUGCAGCUUCUGUUCUUGGCCUCUGGCUGCUCUGUGACUACCAUGGAAGGAGUUCCACACUAACCUCCUGUAGGGUAAGAGACACGUGGAGGCAGACUGAGCCUCCCAGCCAUCCCACUGAGGCUCCAGGCGUGCCAGUGAUGUACCUGGCUGAAGCCUGGCCCCCAGUCACCCACUGACGGCAGCUGCAAAGGUGCCCGUGAUGAGGUACAAUUUGCUUGAUGUCAUCAAUACAGUGAGCCAGUGUGAUAUUCUGCGGAAUUGAAGAUGACUACAGUCCCUUUGGACUACACUAUGACAAAGAACAAGAGUGUUAGCACAGCCCUGGGUGGGUCACUGACAAGAAAAUUCACCUGGAGGCCAAAUUGUCUCUAAUAACAAGUCCAAGACAUGCAUUCCAGCUGGAAUCCUCUUCCCGGAUGGUUGUGUGUUUUUAAUUGCAGUAGCCAUCUCCAAAAAUGCCAUCCAGUAACCAUGCCCUUGUGUGCUGCCCUUUCCAUGAAUCUGAGCUAGCCCCAUAAUUUGCUUUUGGCCAUUGGAUGGUGGUGGAAGUGAUGCUGUGUGACUUUUGAAGCUGAGUUACAAGCAGCCUUGGACAGUCUUUCUAGACCUCGUGGAGGGCUCACUCUGGGGGAAGCCAACCAGCAUAUCCGUGUCCCUGUCUGUAACACAGGGCUAAGCAAGUUCUUCAGCUAUUGGGCUUCAUCCACUCAACAUUCCACUGGCACUUCCAGAGCUGCCACCACACUUCAGACUCCCAAGGCUAACAAUGACCAAGAAAGACAGAUUCUCUGACGUCAUGGAACUUACUGUCUUUAUGAAUUUCCAGGGAGAAGGGUGCUAAGAUGCUAACAUGGAUACUAACCAUCUGAUGCAAUAUUCUGCUGCACAGAUUGUGACCUAUGACUCACUGGGACAUGAUAGAGGUCACAGAAAUGCCAAUGACAUCCCAAAGACAGUGUGGGAGUGUGUUGUCUAGCUUCUUAGCAAACCCCACCCCCACGGUGGCAUGACCCCUGCACCAUCUUCUCCCACCCUGGGAUCUCCUUCCUACCCCUCUGCCCAUGUCAAUCUGGAAGGUACUUUUAUACACACACACACACACUCCUAAUAGCAUCUAAAUCAGUCACUCUCAACCUUGGCUGUGCAUUAGUGGUGCUUACCUAUGACAGGGCUAGGCCCAGGCCACACCCAAAUCCAUUAAAGCAGAGCGUCUGGGGUGGGACCCAAGCAUCAGAGUUAUUGGCAUCUUCCCAGCUCGAGAACCAGUGCUCUAAGCGGAUGUGGUCGUCGGGGGAAAGGCAAGGACCUCUGGUCUUUACAAUCUUCUUGAUAUCACUGAAUAACCUCAGUUUCUCUGUCUGGGCAAGGAGGGUACUAAUACCUCCCUCUCCAGGCCAUGAUGAAGGUAAAACAAUAUUCUGAAAGAACCUCAGGAAUCCUGCCCAGAUGAGAGGCACUGGCCCUGUGGCCUCUGGGCAGAUUCACUGGAGAAAGUGGUGGGUGUGAUGGUUUCCCUGGGGGCCAACACUGAGACUUCCCAGUGUUUGCUCUACCAGGGUGAGCAUCACUGUGGUGAAUGUCCCUUGCAGAGCUCACAUCUGUUGCACCAGGAUACUUCCCCUGAAG
rnacentral:lncRNA from 10 species